UGGUUUAACUAAAUAUUCAUGUCUUAUUACUAUAUUUCAAAUUUUAUAUUUUAGUAAAAAAGCUAAAAUUAAUGUUAAAGACAAAAAGACCCUAUUAAACUUUAUAAUUAUAAUUUAAUAUCAACAUAAAUUAAAAAUUAUUUUACUGGGGCAGUAGAUAAAUAAAAUUUUAUUUUAACAAUGUGAACAUGAUUCUUGAAAAAUCAAAAAAUUUUUAAAAAAGAAUAAGUUACUAUAGGGAUAACAGCAUUAUUUUCUUAAAGAGUUCUUAUCAUCAAGAAAGUUUGUGACCUCGAUGUUGGAUUAAGAAACCUUUUUCAUGCUAUUA
rnacentral:rRNA from 1 species